UACGUAGGGCGCAAGCGUUUAUCCGGAAUUAUUGGGCGUAAAGAGCUCGUAGGCGGUCUGUCGCGUCUGCUGUGAAAACUCGGGGCUUAACCCCGGGCCUGCAGUGGGUACGGGCAGACUAGAGUGCGGUAGGGGAGACUGGAAUUCCUGGUGUAGCGGUGAAAUGCGCAGAUAUCAGGAGGAACACCGGUGGCGAAGGCGGGUCUCUGGGCCGAUACUGACGCUGAGGAGCGAAAGCGUGGGGAGCGAACAGG
rnacentral:rRNA from 1 species